GACGAACGCUGGCGGCGUGCUUAACACAUGCAAGUCGAACGGUAAGGCCUUUCGGGGUACACGAGUGGCGAACGGGUGAGUAACACGUGGGUGAUCUGCCCUGCACUCUGGGAUAAGCCUGGGAAACUGGGUCUAAUACUGGAUAGGACCGCAUGCUGCAUGGUGUGUGGUGGAAAGUUUUUCGGUGCAGGAUGGGCCCGCGGCCUAUCAGUUUGUUGGUGGGGUAAUGGCCUACCAAGGCGACGACGGGUAGCCGGCCUGAGAGGGCGACCGGCCACACUGGGACUGAGACACGGCCCAGACUCCUACGGGAGGCAGCAGUGGGGAAUAUUGCACAAUGGGCGCAAGCCUGAUGCAGCGACGCCGCGUGAGGGAUGACGGCCUUCGGGUUGUAAACCUCUUUCAGUAGGGACGAAGCGUGAGUGACGGUACCUACAGAAGAAGCACCGGCCAACUACGUGCCAGCAGCCGCCGUAACAC
rnacentral:rRNA from 1 species